rnacentral:rRNA from 1 species
GAUGAACGCUAGCGGCAGGCCUAAUACAUGCAAGUCGAACGGUGUCUUCGGACAUAGUGGCGCACGGGUGCGUAACACGUAUGCAACCUACCUUACAUUGGGGGAUAGCCUUUCGAAAGGGAGAUUAAUACCGCAUAAGACAGUAGCUGGGCAUCCAGCAGCUGGUAAAGAUUUACCGAUGUAUGUUGGGCAUGCGUCCAAUUAGCUAGUUGGUGAGGUAACGACUCACCAAGGCAAUGAUUGGUAGGGGAACUGAGAGGUCAAUCCCCCACACUGGCACUGAGAUACGGGCCAGACUCCUACGGGAGGCAGCAGUAGGGAAUAUUGGGCAAUGGACGCAAGUAUGACCCAGCCAUGCCGCGUGCAGGAUGAAGGCGUUAUGCGUUGUAAACUGCUUUUAUACAGGAAGAAACGACUCUUGCGAGAGGCAUUGACGGUACUGUAUGAAUAAGCACCGGCUAACUCCGUGCCAGCCGCCGCAGUAAUAC